rnacentral:rRNA from 1 species
AUUGAACGCUGGCGGCAGGCCUAACACAUGCAAGUCGAACGAGUGGCGGACGGGUGAGUAAUGUCUGGGAAACUGCCCGACGGAGGGGGAUAACUACUGGAAACGGUAGCUAAUACCGCAUAACAUCGGAGGUGCCCAGAUGGGAUUAGCUAGUAGGUGGGGUAACGGCGCACAUAGGCGACGAGCCCUAGCUGGUCUGAGAGGAGUACCAGCCACACUGGAACUGAGACACGGUCCAGACUCCUACGGGAGGCAGCAGUGGGGAAUAUUGCACAAUGGGCGCAAGCCUGAUGCAGCCAUGCCGCGUGUAUGAAGAAGGCCUUCGGGUUGUAAAGUACUUUCAGCGAGGAGGCGUUACUCGCAGAAGAAGCACCGGCUAACUCCGUGCCAGCCGCCGCGGUAAUUC